UCAGGAUGAACGCUAGCGGCAGGCUAACACAUGCAAGUCGAGGGGCAACGCGAGUAGCAAUACUUGGCGGCGACCGGCGCAAGGGUGCGUAACGCGUGAGCAACAUGCCCGUAUCAGGGGGAUAAUCCAGGGAAACUUGGUCUAAUACCCCAUAGUAAUUUUGUAAGGCAUCUUAUAAGAUUUAAAGCUUUGGUGGAUACGGAUUGGCUCGCGUGACAUUAGCUGGAUGGUAAGGUAACGGCUUACCAUGGCUAUGAUGUCUAGGGGUUCUGAGAGGAAGGUCCCCCACACUGGAACUGAGACACGGUCCAGACUCCUACGGGAGGCAGCAGUGAGGAAUAUUGGACAAUGGAUGGAAAUCUGAUCCAGCCAUGCCGCGUGAAAGGAAGAAGGUCCUAUGGAUUGUAAACUUCUUUUGUAUGGGAGCAAUAAGGCCUACGAGUAGGUUGAUGAGAGUACCAUACGAAUAAGCACCGGCUAACUCCGUGCCAGCCGCCGC
rnacentral:rRNA from 1 species